GGUUUAAUUCGAAGCAACGCGCAGAACCUUACCAGCCCUUGACAUCCCGGUCGCGGUUUCCAGAGAUGGAUUCCUUCAGUUCGGCUGGACCGGUGACAGGUGCUGCAUGGCUGUCGUCAGCUCGUGUCGUGAGAUGUUGGGUUAAGUCCCGCAACGAGCGCAACCCUCGCCCUUAGUUGCCAGCAUUCAGUUGGGCACUCUAAGGGGACUGCCGGUGAUAAGCCGAGA
rnacentral:rRNA from 1 species